UUGUAUUCAUUUUUUAACAAUUUAUGUUCAUUCGAUUUCUUUAUAACAAUUUAACAAUUGUUUUCAACUUCUUUAUAUGCAGUGCCCUUGUCAAUUAGAUUUUGUAGGAUGCCGGUACUAUGUGCAAAAGUAUAUACACAAAAUAGUGCAUAAUCCUACUACUCCCAUUACCAGCCUCGUACGUAAAUUAUUUAUCCUUCUCUGGCCACCUUCCCCAUCUCCAACAUCUUCUUCUUUUCCAACGAUGGUAGGCCACACUAACGCAAAUAUUCUUCCAAUACACAUUGAUAGCACUAGUGUGCGACGGCUAGUGAUUGAGGACCCUGCAACCCUAAAACCCUACCGUCUCAGUAUAGUGAUGACAUUAGCAGUCAAUGGUGAUAAAUUCUUUAUCAACAUUAUUUAGGACUCUCACAGUAGCUUACAACAAAGUUUUCCUUCUAUUGGACAAGGAUUAAGCAAAUUCGGACACCAACUAACAAGGAUUUGAGUUCUUUUGGAUUCAGAAUAGUUUCAAAACUCUUCGAAUACUUUUCAGCAAGAAUAUGAGACUAUUUUGUUUAGACUUGAUUCAAAGUGUCCAAAUUGAGAUUUAAAAUUGCUUUGGGAGUCUUCCAAAUAGUUUAGAAGUUCUUUUAUACGCAUUGUGUAAGUGGAAUUCUACUUCUGGAAUCUAUUUUUUGUGUGCUAGCAUGUUUCGGGCUUCUAUUGUAAUUUAUAUAUUAUUUAUGGCUACAUAUUGAUCAUCUUGAAUCAUGUGUUUGGGCUAAAUAAUAGCAUGUUAUGAUGUCAUGUAGUAGUGUAAUAGCUUAUGUGUGAAUGAGUUAUUAAGUGAUAUGGUGCAUAUGACUUUGUUGACUUGUUGAGAAUGUUUGGUUGUGCAUAUGAUUAUGUUGGAGGCAUGUUGUUACUUUAUGUGUUUUGACAUGAGAUAUGGUUUAGGAUUAUAUGGUAGAAAUCAUGCAUUGGUGAGAUUUUGUGAGAAGGAGGUUGAGAACCUUGUGAACUUGUAAAGAAAAUGUCUCAAUGUUGGAGGCAUGUUGAUGUGUUUUGGCAUGAAAUUUUUGUUCUUAUGUUUACACCUCUCAACUGUUUAUGUAAAUGCCUCAAUGAAAGCCAGCUAUGGUUUCACUUCAAUAUGUCUCUCUGCUUCUAGAUUUUGGCCUUUUUAUGUGUCAUGGCCUUUGAAAUUUGAUUUGAUUAAUGGUUUUGUUGUAUAUGAUACGUUUUGGCCUUUUUAUGUGUCUAUGGCCUUUUGUGAUAACAUCCUUAAGAAAGGUAGGAGUGAGAAACUGAGUGAUGAAGCAAUUAAGGAGACACAUGAGAAGGUAAUUUUUAUUGCGAUUUGGUGUAUCUCAUUUGGAUGUGUUUUUACUGUGUACUGGAAGUUUGCUGCUGUAGUUGGGAGAAAUCUACAAUUUGGAUGUGGGGGUAGUUGUUAGCCUAAGCAUACUGAAAAAUAAUAAGUGUUAUCUCCUGGACUGUGGUGCUGAAAAAUUUGUUUGGGUAGGAAGAGUGACAAGUAGAGGAGCGAAAAGCAACAAUUCAAGUAUGGCGACUGAUGAAACCAUCGGGGUCCUAAUGGUUUUCAUUCUCUAGGUAUGGCGAAUCAAUGGCAGUGCCAAAACUCCAUUGCUUGCAGAUGAUAUUGGUAAAUUUUAUAGUGGAGACUGCUACAUCAUUCUUUACAUCUACCACUCUGGUGAGAGGAAAAAAGAUUAUUUCUUGUGCUUUUGGUUUGGAAAGGAUAGCAUCGAGGUUAGUUAGCAUUUAAGGUUUAUUUUGAGAAAAUCUAACUAUUGUAAGUUACAUACUUAAACUUAGAAUGUGGUGGUACACUUGCCAAUUCAGUUGAAUAACUAGUGUUGAUUCUCUAAGAAAGGGAAUAAUGGAAGAUGGUUUCCUUGAUCUAAUGAAAGUACUCUUGAUUCCUGUAAAAGAAUAAUUGCUUGUAAACAAGUGUAGGGAUGUUUUCUCAUUCCUUACAUUUUCAUAUCAUGACAUAUUUAAGUGAAUUUGUACAUAAACAUAUGUGUUUAUUGCUGUUAAAUCAUUUUUUAUUAUUUCAAACCUUAGAAAGAUCAAAAGAUGGCUACACGGUUGACGAAUAGAAUGUCCAACUCGCUGAAAGAGAGGCCUGUUUAGGGUCGUAUAUUUCAAGGCAAAGAGCCACCCCAAUUUAUUGCCCUCUUUCAACCUUUUGUGGUGCUCAAGGAGUGUAGGGUGGCUUGAGCUCUAGUUACAAGAAACUCAUACCAGAUAAAGCUUUGGCUAAUGAAACUUACACGGAAGAUUCUGUUGCCCUUAUUAGGAUAUCACAAACAUCCAUUCACAACAAUAAAACAGUGCAAGUUGAAGUUGUUGCAACCUCACUGAACUCUACUGAGUGUUUUAUCCUGCAAUCUGGCUCUUCUGUUUUCUCUUGGCAUGGAAACCAAAGUACAUUCCAGGAGCAACAGUUAGCUGUUAAAAGUUGCAGAGUUUCUAAGGUGGUCAGACAAAGAUGCCUAUUACCAGACACUACUGAAGCUGGGGUGUCUGUUCAAGAAGAAUUAUGAAGGGAUCCAUACUUACCAAGUGGAGAGGGACAGGAAACUCAUAAUGUUUAUAAAACCCUAAUCUUUGUAUUACUUGUA